CAGUAGCCGCGGGAAUACAGAGGGUGCGAGCGUUAAUCGGAUUUACUGGGCGUAAAGCGUGCGUAUGCGGCUUUUUAAGUCGGAUGUGAAAUCCCUGAGCUUAACUUAGGAAUUGCAUUCGAUACUGGGAAGCUAGAGUAUGGGAGAGGAUGGUAGAAUUCCAGGUGUAGCGGUGAAAUGCGUAGAGAUCUGGAGGAAUACCGAUGGCGAAGGCAGCCAUCUGGCCUAAUACUGACGCUGAGGUACGAAAGCAUGGGGAGCAAACAGGAUUAGAUACCCCAGUAGUCCCUGUCUCUUAUAA
rnacentral:rRNA from 1 species